rnacentral:rRNA from 1 species
CUACGGGCGGCUGCAGUCAAGAAUCUUCCGCAAUGGCCGAAAGGCUGACGGAGCAAUGCCGCGUGCCAGAGGAAGCCCUUUGGGGUGUAAAUGGCUUUUAUGAGGGAACAAACUUCGGUUGAGCGUACCUCAUGAAUAAGGGGCUGCUAACUUCGUGCCAGCAGCAGCGGUAAUACGAAGGCCCCGAGCGUUAUCCGGAUUUAUUGGGCGUAAAGCGUCCGCAGGCGGUUUUGUAAGUCUUUGUUCAAAUCCUCGUGCUUAACACGAGAUCGGGCAGAGAUACUGCAAAACUUGAGGCCGGUAGAGGCGAGCGGAACGGUUGGUGUAGGGGUAAAAUCCGUUAAUAUCAACCGGAACGCCAAAUGCGAAGGCAGCUCGCUGGAACGGUUCUGACGCUCAUGGACGAAAGCGUGGGGAGAGAACGGGAUUAGAUACCCCUGUAGUC